CGUGUGAGGUCAUAGGCAUGACUGAUACAGCAGUACUUGCAAGACGAGCAUACAAACAGACACGUGUGUUACUAUAUUCAGAAGAACUGUAUCUCCAGUUCCUUUGUUCGGUUUUUGCUGCUUCGUGAAUAAUGGCGGGACGACGUGUCGCGUUCAACUCGCCUUCAACUCCUCUCCGCGGUCACCAACUUUUGGCCAGUCUGCAGACAGACGAGAAGAUGCUGCUGAAUGCUCUCAGUGGAUCGUCUCGUCACUCCAACAACAAACUGCCGAUAUCAACGAGCGGUUCGCUCCACUGGAGCGUUCGGGACUCUGCGGGUUUCUGUCCAUGGAGGAGAGGAACUGACUCAAAGAAGAGGAGACGGGCGCACAAUCCCAAGAUAGCGGAAGCGGUGCGCCGUCUUCACAACUCCGAGACGAACUACAGGCGCCACGAACCGGAGCAAGGACUAAUCUCGCCUCAUAAUGAGGCGGUGACCUCGUAUUUGCUCCGGGAAAAGUCCAGAUUUAGACGACGUCAUUGUGUCCGCCUGUAAGACGUAUUUAGAGACGGGACGCAGGAGCUUCAGGUUCAGCCGGAACACUCAUUGCGGGCGGAAGCUGCGAAGGAUUCAGCGCGGAGUCGAGCGAGAAGAAAGAGGGUCAGAGUUUAUUUGCUGACUUGUUUCAGGUGGAUUGAUCGAUGUGUUGUGUCCGUACGCACAGUACUGAUUCAUUGUUGUUUUUACAGCUGCUGGAAUCGAGACAAAGUGUGCUGGCUGAUGACGAGGUGGAACUCCGCCACCGUGGAGCUCACGUCGGGCGGAGGGGACGGCGUUGUUGGCGGGGUUCUCGGGUGGAUUGUACGGUCGCCACACGCAGAGCCGCCUGCACAACAGACCUGCCUCGGAAAACACGGCGCCAGUGACGGUCUACAACCCCGAGGAGGCAAACGGACAGUUUACUGAGCUGUAGUUUUUUAAACCGCCGUUACCCAAGUGUGGGCAGAUCCUCACUUUGUAUGUAGUUGUUGUUUGUGUGUUGUUAAUAAAGCUCUUUCUUUGCAUAAACAUGUGGCAAAUGUUCAUUUUCUCUCUAAAUUCAUUGAUGUCCUGGUUGGUAUCCUAAUAAUAGUGUAGUAGCCUACAUAUGAUAACCAUGAAAUGAAUAUACAGCAUAAUAUGAAUAUAUAAAUAAAAGGAGGCGGGUGACCAAUAGCGACAGAUCUGCC
ensembl:lncRNA